CGUUCAAUGACUCAAUCUCUCUUUCCUCUCGACUGCAGUACCAAAUCAUGGGUCCAAAAAUAUUUAAUUCUAAAAUUAUUAUUAUUAUUAUUAUAUAAUAUAUAUAUAGAGUUAGGCCUCUAUGCUUUCGAAAGUACGGAGACCUCCGUACUUGUAAGUUGUUUUCGAUAAUGGGACGUUCGAUUCAACGAUCGAUUCCGUUAAACAUGAUCUGCACUAUUAGAACUAUUUAGAAACCAAAUUUCAUAAUUUUUUGACUUCGUUUGCCUAGUGAACAAGUAUCUUCAAAAUGAACGGCUGAAAAUAAAAAUCACAUAAAAAACAGUGAUAAAGAACUCAAAUUUCAAAUCGGAAGUAUUGUUCUUACUCUUAAUGUUAAGUAGAAUUUUCUAUUAAAAUUUCAUAUAAUUUGGAUACUUCUACACUGUUGAACUUAAAAAUGUGCUACAUCGGCCGUUAAAAUAGUCAUUUUUGAGACCUUAUGAUCGCUUAGUAAAUGAUGUCAAAAAAUUAUAAAAUUUGGUUUCUAAAUCGUUCCAAUAGCAUAGAUUAUGUCUAACGGAGCCGAUCGUCGAAUCGGAUGCCCUUUCAUCGGAAACAACUUACAAGUACGGAAGCCUCCGUACUUUCGAAAGCACAGAAGACGUACUAUAUAUAUAUAUAUA
rnacentral:lncRNA from 1 species